UACGUAGGUGGCUAGCGUUAUCCGGAUUUACUGGGCGUAAAGAGGGUGCAGGCGGCUUUUCAAGUCGGCUAUAAAAUCUCCCGGCUUAACUGGGAGGGACUGGCCGAUACUGUUAGGCUGGAGAGCAGCAGAGGGAGAUGGAAUUCCCGGUGUAGUGGUGAAAUGCGUAGAUAUCGGGAGGAACAUCAGUGGCGAAAGCGGUCUCCUAGGCUGUUUCUGACGCUGAGGCCCUAAAGCGUGGGGAGCAAACAGG
rnacentral:rRNA from 1 species